UACGUGAAUAUUUACCAGAAAAUAAAAACAUAUCAGUCUUAAUUACCAUCAAAUUCUACUCUUCAAUGUUUUAGCAAGAAACAAAUAUCAUUGAAAUGGAGGGAACAGUGAAAAAAAUAAAGACCAAAAUUUUCUAUCAUUAUGCCAAACCUAAAAGUAAAACCAAUUAUAAUUCUUAAAAGAAAAAGAGUAAAACCAGAACUCACUGGAACCAAAGGGUUAUCUUCUACAGGUAACUUCAAAUCAUCUAACAAAGACAAAGGAUCCUUUUUCUCAAAUCUCUCAUGGCUAAUGAGCAUGUCGGUGUAGUUGGGCUCGGGGAAGAUCGCGUGACUCUUCCGUGAGUCUGCUGUGAGGGAGACCUCAUGGGAAUACGUCUGCAGGAAAGCCCGCACCCCUUCCACGCCCACAAAGGGGGAGGUGGGCACACCCACUAGCCCGCCUCCUGAAGCUUGGAGCUGGUGCGAUGUGUGCCAGCGCCUCAACCUGAGAGCCAGUAGCACGAUGACAAAAGCGAGGAAGAUGCAGGAAACUAUGGCUACCGCCACGACCAGGUAUAGCGUUAGACCUGAAGCUUCGGAGUCACGUGGAACUUCCAGACUGCCCAGGUCAGCCAGGACAUCUGGGAUGCUGUCAGCAAUGGCCACAGUGAGUGUGACGGUGGCUGAGAGAGGGGGCUGGCCAUGGUCCUGCACCGCCACGACCAGGCUCUGCUUGAGCGCAUCUCUGUCCAGCAGGGCCCGUGCUGUGCGCACCUCGCCUGUGUGCAGCCCCACUGCGAAGAGCCCUGGUUCGCUGGCCUUGAGCAGGCGGUAGGACAGUCGGGCAUUCUGACCCGAGUCUUUGUCCACUGCCACCACCUUAGUGACCAAAUAGCCAGACUCUGAAGAACGGGGUGCCAGCUCCAUUCCAGUGGAAGUGUCAGUGGGUAGGGUGGGGUACAGGAUCUCUGGUGCAUUGUCAUUCUGGUCCAGCACAAAUAUGCUCACAGAAACAUUGCUGCUGAGAGGUGGGUCCCCACUGUCAGUGGCAAUCACCUGAAUCUGUAGAUCAUGAAAUUGCUCAUAGUCGAAAGUUCGCAACGCAUACAGGACUCCUGUGUCAGAGUUUAUGGAGACGUAGGAGGAUAGAGGUGCUUCCUGGAAAGUGUCUUCAGCUAGGGAGUAAAUAACCUGAGCAUUCUCUUUGCUGUCUGGGUCUAGUGCAGUCACAGACAAGAUGGAGGCACCUCUGGGGUUGUUCUCCGGGAUAUAGGUGAAGUAGGAGAUGUGGGAAAAAGUGGGUGGGUUGUCAUUAAUAUCUGCCACUUGCACAGUGAAGUGAGUUUCUGUUAAUAGGGGUGGAUUUCCUCCAUCUGUGGCUGUCACUGUGAUAUUGUAAGAGGAUACCUGUUCCCUGUCAAGGGUUCUGUGUGUCACCAGUCUAUAAUAACCGUCAAUGGAUUUCUCUAACUUAAAUGGUAGAUUGCCUGAUAUGGAACAGGUGACCUGUCCAUUCUGCCCAGAGUCUGGAUCAUGCACAUUUAAAAGGGCUAUAAUAGUUCCCGGAGGUGAGUCUUCCAUCAGGGGACUAAACAGAGAUGUGAUGGUCACCUCUGGAUUGUUGUCAUUUACAUCUUCUACUGUAAUCAAUACUUUUGCCAUUGCAAGAUAUGCUCCUCCAUCUUCUGCUUGUAUUUCUAAUUCAUAGAAAUCUGUUUCUUCGUAGUCUAGAUUUUCUGAUAAUUUUAUUUCCCCAGUAUUUUUGUUUAGUUGGAAUUUCAACAAUUUGUCAGGAACAAAUUUUCGGAAUGAAUAUGUGACUUCUCCAUUGGCUCCUUCAUCCCUGUCUGUGGCAGUGACUGUAAGCAGCUGUGUGCCCACAGGCAAGUUCUCCAGAACACUCACUCGGUAUUCUGGCAAGGUAAAGACCGGUGCAUUGUCAUUUGUAUCAAAGACGAUCACACUGAUGAGAACUGUACCAGAUAGGAGAGGGUCACCCCCAUCAGAGGCAGUGAGGACCAGGUGGUGUAGUGCCUCUUCCUCACGAUCCAGGGCGUGCUUCAGUACCAGCUCCGGGUAUUUGACACCACUGGCAUGACUCUGAACUGCUAAUGAGAAGUACUUAUUGGAGCUGAGCUGGUAGCUCUGGAGGGAGUUCACACCCACGUCUGGAUCAGCAGCUUCCAGGAGAGGAAAACGCAUUCCUGGAGCGACAUUUUCAUUAAUUUUUACCUCUACAUUUUCUGCUUGGAAUUUUGGGGCAUUAUCGUUGACAUCAGUUAUUUCUAUUUCUAUCCCAAAAAGUUCCACCCUAUCUUCCACAAGAAUGUUAAAAUUCACCAGACACCGUGCACUCUGACCACAGAGCUCCUCCCGGUCUAUCCUGCCUGCGGUGACCAAACUGCCACUUCUCGGGUUCAGAGCGAAAAGCUGCGUCCUACCUCUGGAGACGAUGCGGACUCCAGGCUCAGCCAGCUCCCAGGGCUCCAGCCCCAGGUCCUUGGAGAUGUUGCCGACGAAAGAGCCUUUCUCUAACUCCUCAGGAACGGAGUAGCGGAUCUGCCGGGCUUCAGCCUCCCAUGACAAACCGAGGAAAAGACAGAACAAAACCAGCGCUUUGCGGUUGGAGUGGUUCCUUUUAGCAGCCAUUGUUGUCUAGUCAAGGAAUUCUCGCCAAGUAAUCACUGGGCACGUUGUGUGUUUUAACGAUUCCUUUUUCUUUGUCUGGCUGCUGGGAGCCUCUGUAGCCUACGCACCUCAAAUUCUGGAGUGAGUUUCACUGCAACCCUGGAGCCGGUUUGUAGGAACUGAGGAGCUUUGCGUAGUCGGAGCCCUGAGAAUCCGGAUUGAGCGCUGGCUGUGUUUCUCUGGGAGAACAGCGGCGCUCAGAGUCCUGAGAAGUUACUGCACCCACUAUGUGUGCAAUGGAAAACACGGUACUCUUUGUUGGAUCUUUCAUUUUACUUUACAAUACUUCUUUGGCUUCUC
rnacentral:lncRNA from 1 species